rnacentral:rRNA from 1 species
UACGUAGGGUGCAAGCGUUAUCCGGAAUUAUUGGGCGUAAAGAGCUCGUAGGCGGUUUGUCGCGUCUGCUGUGAAAACUGGAGGCUCAACCUCCAGCCUGCAGUGGGUACGGGCAGACUAGAGUGCGGUAGGGGAGAUUGGAAUUCCUAGUGUAGCGGUGGAAUGCGCAGAUAUCAGGAGGAACACCAAUGGCGAAGGCAGAUCUCUGGGCCGUAACUGACGCUGAGGAGCGAAAGCAUGGGGAGCGAACAGG